CAGAGAUGCUGUCAGCAGGUCAGUUGCUUAAAGAAGCUGAGAUAAAGGAAGACCCUAGCAUUUUUGUGCAUAUUAAAGAUGAAGACGGUGCAUCAGGUUCUUGAUAAAAGACUACUGGAACAGUUACACAGGCGUCAGAAGAACAAAAUGAGCCAACCUAUGAUG